GCCUGGCUGGCUCAGUUGGUAGAGCAUGUGACUCUUGAUCUCAGGGACAUGAGUUCAAGCCCCACGUUGGGUA
rfam:Ailuropoda melanoleuca scaffold1047_36, whole genome shotgun sequence.